GACGAACGCUGGCGGCGUGCCUAAUACAUGCAAGUAGAACGCUGAAGGAGGAGCUUGCUCUUCUGGAAGAGUUGCGAACGGGUGAGUAACGCGUAGGUAACCUGCCUGGUAGCGGGGGAUAACUAUUGGAAACGAUAGCUAAUACCGCAUAAGAUUGAAUAUCGCAUGAUAAUUGAUUAAAAGAUGCAAUUGCAUCACUACCAGAUGGACCUGCGUUGUAUUAGCUAGUAGGUGAGGUAACGGCUCACCUAGGCGACGAUACAUAGCCGACCUGAGAGGGUGAUCGGCCACACUGGGACUGAGACACGGCCCAGACUCCUACGGGAGGCAGCAGUAGGGAAUCUUCGGCAAUGGGGGCAACCCUGACCGAGCAACGCCGCGUGAGUGAAGAAGGUUUUCGGAUCGUAAAGCUCUGUUGUAAGAGAAGAACGAGUGUGAGAGUGGAAAGUUCACACUGUGACGGUAUCUUACCAG
rnacentral:rRNA from 1 species